GGAUGAACGCUGGCGGCGUGCCUAAUACAUGCAAGUCGAGCGAACUGAUUAGAAGCUUGCUUCUAUGACGUUAGCGGCGGACGGGUGAGUAACACGUGGGCAACCUGCCUGUAAGACUGGGAUAACUUCGGGAAACCGAAGCUAAUACCGGAUAGGAUCUUCUCCUUCAUGGGAGAUGAUUGAAAGAUGGUUUCGGCUAUCACUUACAGAUGGGCCCGCGGUGCAUUAGCUAGUUGGUGAGGUAACGGCUCACCAAGGCAACGAUGCAUAGCCGACCUGAGAGGGUGAUCGGCCACACUGGGACUGAGACACGGCCCAGACUCCUACGGGAGGCAGCAGUAGGGAAUCUUCCGCAAUGGACGAAAGUCUGACGGAGCAACGCCGCGUGAGUGAUGAAGGCUUUCGGGUCGUAAAACUCUGUUGUUAGGGAAGAACAAGUACAAGAGUAACUGCUUGUACCUGACGGUACCUAACC
rnacentral:rRNA from 2 species